rnacentral:rRNA from 1 species
GACGAACGCUGGCGGCGUGCUUAACACAUGCAAGUCGAACGGAAAGGCCCUGCUUUUGUGGGGUGCUCGAGUGGCGAACGGGUGAGUAACACGUGAGUAACCUGCCCUUGACUUUGGGAUAACUUCAGGAAACUGGGGCUAAUACCGGAUAGGAGCUCCUGCUGCAUGGUGGGGGUUGGAAAGUUUCGGCGGUUGGGGAUGGACUCGCGGCUUAUCAGCUUGUUGGGGGGGUAGUGGCUUACCAAGGCUUUGCCGGGUAGCCGGCCUGAGAGGGUGACCGGCCACAUUGGGACUGAGAUACGGCCCAGACUACUACGGGAGGCAGCAGUGGGGAAUAUUGCACAAUGGGCGGAAGCCUGAUGCAGCAACGCCGCGUGCGGGAUGACGGCCUUCGGGUUGUAAACCGCUUUCGCCUGUGACGAAGCGUGAGUGACGGUAAUGGGUAAAGAAGCACCGGCUAACUACGUG